rnacentral:rRNA from 1 species
GACGAACGCUGGCGGCGUGCUUAACACAUGCAAGUCGAACGGAAAGGCCCUGCUUUUGUGGGGUGCUCGAGUGGCGAACGGGUGAGUAACACGUGAGUAACCUGCCCUUGACUUUGGGAUAACUUCAGGAAACUGGGGCUAAUACCGGAUAGGAGCUCCUGCUGCAUGGUGGGGGUUGGAAAGUUUCGGCGGUUGGGGAUGGACUCGCGGCUUAUCAGCUUGUUGGUGGGGUAGUGGCUUACCAAGGCUUUGGCGGGUAGCCGGCCUGAGGGGGUGACCGGCCACAUUGGGACUGAGAUACGGCCCAGACUCCUACGGGAGGCAGCAGUGGGGAAUAUUGCACAAUGGGCGGAAGCCUGAUGCAGCAACGCCGCGUGCGGGAUGACGGCCUUCGGGUUGUAAACCGCUUUCGCCUGUGACGAAGCGUGAGUGACGGUAAUGGGUAAAGAAGCACCGGCUAACUACGUG